AAAGAAAGAAAGAAGAGUUCAAUUUUAGAAAUAGUAACUUUUGAUUAUCUCUGACAAUGUAGGCAGACUGAUAUUUGGGUACCAUCAGCAUCUGGAUAUGUUUAGUUCAGAUUUUCAUCACUAUAAUAAAUAGCAAGGAUGAUCUGUUCUGGCCAAUCUCUUGACUGAGACUCCCUUCUCAGAUGACUGAAGGCCAUGUCAAAGUGACAGUUAGUGCUAACUAGGACAGAUAGGGAUACAGACAAGCAGCAUAAUAGGAACCAUGGAUGUACAAGAAAAUAUAGAAGCCUCAUUCUUCUCAUUUUAGGUCUGGUUUUGGCACCUAUGGAAAGAGUUGCUCAAUUGACUGACCCAUGAUAGAGUCAUGGACCAAAUCCUCUUUUUACGUUCUCAGAAACAUAAGCUGAAAAGUACUGCAUUCUUCCACUCUGAGACAGGCCUAGCCAGAUGUCUCUUUCUCCACAUCUAGAACAACCCUGGAAGGACUUGUAGUCUUCCACCUUGACCUUGUUUGGGGUGGGGUCUCUUGUUCGCUGAUGCUGGUCUGUGAGCUUCUGUGGGUUCUAUUGUUACCACCUCCUCUUCAUCUUAGGGAUGCUGGAAUUACAAAUGAAUGUUACUGUGUCUAGAUUUAUGUGGAUGCUGGGGCUCAGACUUGGGUUCAGUCAUGACAAGUAGUAAGGCAAAUUUGUUGUCUCUAUGACACCAGAGUUACCUCUAAGACCUUUCAUGAGGGAACCCCAUGGUGACAGGGCACUAGGAUUCUCCCCACACAGACCACAGUGGCUCCCUCAAGAACUUUUCUGAGUGGAGACUAGCUGGGUCCUGAAGUGGGGCUUCAAGACCAGUCCCUUGAGAUCUAUACUGGUGUGGUGUGGCCCUAGAGCUCUCAACAGGAGGAGGUGCAACUUAAGAUAGAAGGUGGAAAUGAAGUCCUACAUUUGUAAGGCAUUCACUUAGGCACCACGGGGCACUAACGAGGCUGCAAGUGGGGACCACUGGGCUAGGCUGGAGGGUGCUGCCUCCCCAGUGUCUCUCAGCCAUUGUGAUCCCCCAGCCCCAGCAAAACUCCCUUCUUUGCUGAGAUUUUUGCUCUUCGGUCAGGUGUCUUAGAACAUCACUGUCGUACUAGCAUGUUAUCCAGGAGAUGCCCCCCACCAUCUCCAAAAAACUGACAUUCUUUAUUACAUUCAAUUAUUUGUUUAGGGGACAUGUAUCUGCCACAGCAUGUAUGUGAAGAUCAGGGAAUAAUUUGCAGGAAUUGGUUCUCUCCUUUUAUCACAUGGGUCUCAGGGACUGAACACAGGUCAUUAGGUUUGGCAGAAACACCUAGCUGAGUUACCCCACCAAAAGCUUAUUCUUUCUUUUGAUUGACUAUUUGCACUCCUGAAGCAAGAACACUUGAAAAAAACCCAAACAUAUGAUGUGCAAGAAAGUAAUGUGUGUGUGUGUGUGUGUGUGUGUGUGUGUGUGUGUGUGGGUGUGUGUGUGUGUACCUAUGCCUGUGUGCAGUUAUGGUUGCAUGCAUUGUCACAGAAACAGAUUAAAUAUUCAGGCAAGUGCGUUAUAGAUUCUAAAUGGUGGAAUAUUAGACAGCACUAUGGGGAAUGAUUGCAGUAGAUGACAAGGACCGAAUACCGGAGAGUAUGCAGGCUCUGUCCUCAGCUAACAUUCUGUACUAUUCACAUCCAAUCAAACCAGACACACCCACUAUGUGUCAGGCACAGCCAGAGGUGUUCUCAUGUGCCUUCCUCACCAACGUUCCAAACCAGCACCAUGACUCAUGUAGACAGGUCCAAACUGAGGGUCAGAGUUGGAGUCUGCAGAAAGAAGCCAUGAGCCGGGCAGAGGUUUAAGUUACAGGAUCUGUAUGAGUCUGUUCUAAUAUGAGAAUCCAUAACCCAGCUACAGCUCUCACGUGAAUUUCAUUCAUCCAUCCCUGGGAACAUGUUCCGCUCACUGUUCUCUGAAUUUCUCACUCUUCAGAUAGCAAAGCAACUCUCAGUCCAUAGACGAUGCAGAAGAGUGGGAGUCAGCUGAAUUAAGCAGGCAAUCUGAAAACAGUGGCUGAAAACAAGAAGAUGUAACAGGGCAGAGAGUAUGGUAGGUCUUCCUUUCCAGUGGCUGCUGUCUUUUGUACCACCUUUUAGAGGAAGCCCAAGCCUAUAGAAUGUACUCCAAGAGGGACCAUCUUUAAUGUCCAUUUGAUGCAAAUGAUUCUGGGACACAUAUAGGCAUUCAUAUAUCCUUUCAUACUUGACUGCAUUUAUGUGGAAAGUUCUUCCUGGAGAAAUUGCUUUGUCAGAGGACAUGAGAAUUUCCUAUGUUGGCAGAUCUUUCCAUGGGAUUGAAAGUUGAAUCCUCCCACCGAAAGGUGUAUGUGUGAGGCUUCAGACUGUUCACAUCGUGGCUUAAAUAUGUGGUAGUAGGCUGCUAAGAACCCACGUUGGUCCCAGUGGCACAAACCAAGGCAGAUCAUGUCUCUUAUGGAGGCUCCAGUUACCUCAGCUGAGUAAAGGCAACAGCACCCCCCAAAAGCAGCUACAUGGCUUCUAUAAAGACGGAACCAGAAGCAGCCAGCACUCUUCUGUCAGCUGUGAAGCUUUCUGGACGUGCUGCUCAAGGCCAGCAAGAGGGCUUUGCCUUCCUCAAGCUCACUUCUGCUCUGUGGGAGACAUGAUGGUCUCCAGCAUGCUCACCAAGAGGAAAAUGGACACGGGAAGGAGUUCCACCUUGGAAAGGACUUGCAGCAAAGCUGGUGUCACCCUUGGUCCUUCAGGCUGAGACAAGUCAGCAAGAGCUGAGGCUGCUCAUGAAGGUCUCCUCCUUCUUUAACAAAGCACAGGCUGUUUGCUGAUCUUGGACAGUUGUCUUGAGAACAGAGUUGGAUGGUGGAGGCUUCCUGAAAUUCCAGUGGUGGAUUUCAAAGAAUGUCUGCUGAGGAGCCCUGGUCUUGGAGGCCUGUGGAGCCUCAGAGGCACCAUACCAAGGGAAUGCUCAGAAAGGAUCUCUUCUUCCAAUGGGAAGGAUGGGUGGAAACCUAGAGCUCAUUUGUAGUGUGACCUUCAGCCAGUCUUAACCACAGCUUGCUGAUUGAUGCUUACGUGCAAGUUUCUUGAUGGCCUCCAGCUAACCUCAUGCCAGAUACAUCCCUUUGAGAUCCCUGGUGGUGAGUUUCCCACCAGAAUGGCAUAAUGCAGAAUAUCCACUUAUUUCUUUGAGAUAUUUUGAAUGUUUUAUUAUCUCAUGCUUGUUUGAUGAUGGAUUUUUUUUUUUUUUUUACUCUAAGGCUAGGGAUACAUAAUUAAACAGCUUAGUAUUCUACAAGACCGUCCAUUACAUUUUGAAAGAAAAAGCUUUUGCCAGUCUCUGAAUAUGCUCAUGUUGGCUCUGAAUCAUUAAAUGGGAGUUGUAACAUGACUGUCCAGACACUGAAAAUAUGCAUUUAUUUCCAUUUCCUCAGAAUAUAUAUGUCUUCAUCAUGCAUCUAUCAAAGCAAAUCACUAUAUAUUCUUCAUCUACUGGAAAAUCCUGGAUGGCAAGUCUUAAAAUCACCAGAGAAGCUUAGAGUUUUGUGCUUUGUUUUUAUUUGUAACUGUUCUGUAUCAGCUCAGCACACUUUUACCUAAUAUACAUGAGUCUGUUCCAUGGAUCAGGAUACACAUUAGACAAGGAAACCCCAUAUCCCUAUAUCCAUAACACUCUUAGAACCUCAAGUUGCUCGAGCACAGACUGUUUUGGGGUACCAUUCUUUCCUCUGAUGGGUGAGACAGUGCAGAUUCACUCUCAUAGAGGAGGAGGGAAGGUUGGGGCCUAUACCUUAUAACACUGUGAAUUCAGAACACACAGUGAUGUCAAAUGUUCUCCAUGACUCCUAGGGAACAGAUGAAUAAAAUCCGGGUGAGAAAGGAUGUGAAUAUGAGUGAAGAGAAACAGGAAGAAAAGGCGAAGUCAGAAGAAAGACGGCUGGAAGGGAUUAAGAAAGAGUGAGGCAGAUCUUCCUUUCCCUUGGUUUAUGUCUAGACUCUCUCAGUUCAUCUUACAGACACACAACACAGAUAACUUCAAGCAGCACAGGGCAGGCACAACCUCCAACCCCCACCAACAUCAUCAGCCCACUAUGGAAGAGCUUAGGGCCUCAGGCUGAGACUUGAAUGGAUGCAGGUACACACAUGCCAUGUGGGAAGGUCAGAGGACAACUUGGGUGAGGCAGUUCUCUUCUACCACACGGGUCCUUCAGACGCAGAUCAUGGAGUUUAGUAUAACAGAAAAUACACUGACCUUUUCCAAAUGAAGCACACAGUGAAUCCAGGGUGUCUCUGGACCGCCUCAUCACAGUACAUCAUAGGACCUCACAGAAGCCUUGGUUCUGAAUAUGCACACCUAGCCCUGCGCAUGCCGGCACGCCUGAAGAACCUCUGCCGAGAUUGGUGAGUAUGGCAUGCCGUGAGGUGCCAUGUUUUUACUGAAUAUACAAAGUUUUCUGCUCACACAGAAGCAUAAUGCUUUAGCUACAGAAGGCAAAGACGUUAAUAUUUCCAUGCGCUUAUUCCUCGGUGUCUAAGUAUUGAGUUAGUGCAUCUUCCAACUGCAUUGUGUUAGCCACCUUGAUUUUUAAAAAUUGCCAUUUGAUUUCUGACUUUAAUUUCAUUGAAAAUAUCAUUCAGCUAAUUAGGGCCAUGUAAAACAGAAUUCCCAGCAAUUCCUGAUGAGACCAUUACAUACUUCUGCAAUUGUGUGCUUCAUAUUUAUGCAAGGAACCAUUCUCAGUACUGACAGUUAUAAAAUCAAAGUACCUAUCAACUGAAAAACGUUGAAGAGGCCCUGUGUCCUAUAGUGUCAAUCAUUCAGCCAAGACUUAAUUUUGUUAUGUAAAAAUAAAUAAGCAUUUUCAUCUCAUUUGUAUGUAGUUCUUUUCCUUGUUGACAAAUGGUAAAACUCAAUUUGUAUGAAAGGAGUGGUGCAACAUGAAUAAAUU